UACGUAGGGUGCAAGCGUUAAUCGGAAUUACUGGGCGUAAAGCGUGCGCAGGCGGUUUUGUAAGUCUGUCGUGAAAGCCCCGGGCUCAACCUGGGAAUUGCGAUGGAGACUGCAAGGCUUGAAUCUGGCAGAGGGGGGUAGAAUUCCGACGUGUAGCAGUGAAAUGCGUAGAGAUGUGGAGGAACACCGAUGGCGAAGGCAGCCCCCUGGGUCAAGAUUGACGCUCGAUGCACGAAGCGUGGGGAGCGAUCCGGA
rnacentral:rRNA from 1 species